CGGACGGGUGAGUAACGCGUGGAAAACCUGCCGUAUACUGGGGGAGUAACACUUAGAAAUAGGUGCUAAUACCGCAUAAGCGCACAGCUUCGCAUGAAGCGGUGUGAAAAACUACUGGUGGUAUACGAUGGUUCCGCGUCUGAUUAGCUAGUUGGUGGGGUAAUGGCCUACCAAGGCAACGAUCAGUAGCCGGCCUGAGAGGGUGAACGGCCACAUUGGGACUGAGACACGGCCCAAACUCCUACGGGAGGCAGCAG
rnacentral:rRNA from 1 species